AUUGAACGCUGGCGGCAUGCCUUACACAUGCAAGUCGAACGGUAACAGGUUAAGCUGACGAGUGGCGAACGGGUGAGUAAUGUAUCGGAACGUGCCCAGUCGUGGGGGAUAACUGCUCGAAAGAGCAGCUAAUACCGCAUACGACCUGAGGGUGAAAGCGGGGGAUCGCAAGACCUCGCGCGAUUGGAGCGGCCGAUAGCAGAUUAGGUAGUUGGUGGGGUAAAGGCCUACCAAGCCUACGAUCUGUAGCUGGUCUGAGAGGACGACCAGCCACACUGGGAGUGAGACACGGCCCAGACUCCUACGGGAGGCAGCAGUGGGGAAUUUUGGACAAUGGACGCAAGUCUGAUCCAGCCAUGCCGCGUGCGGGAAGAAGGCCUUCGGGUUGUAAACCGCUUUUGUCAGGGAAGAAAAGGUUCUGGUUAAUACCUGGGACUCAUGACGGUACCUGAAGAAUAAGCACCGGCUAACUACGUGCCAGCCGCCGCGGUAA
rnacentral:rRNA from 1 species